GGUGGGUGAUCUUACGGACACAAAUCAAGGUCUAAUACUGAGUGAGACUGAGUCAAUCUUUCUCUCCUAUUCUCAUUUUGAUGGGAUACUUGGCCUCGGAUACCCAUCUCUGUCUGUUUCUCGAGUCGCACCUUUCUUUGACAAUGUAUGGAAUGAAGGGGUGAUCCUUCAGAAUCUGUUUUCUGUUUACCUGAGCAGGUAAGAUCAUAUUUACACUCCAACUGGGCAGUGAUAACCCUGAAAUAUCACCUGAAUGAAGGAUGUGCUAAGAUGGUACGCUCAUAAAGAUGUUAUUUUUAUAUGGAUUCCAAAGAAACCUAAAGCAUUCUAUUAUACAAUGUACCCACUGUUAAUUCUGUAAGGAUUUAGGACAUGCUUAAAUUAUCCCUUAUAGCCCCUUUCUUAAUAAUCAGGCCUUCUCCCUGUGCUUUCCACCUCGAAAUUUUCACAACAUAGGAGGCAAGGAGUUUGCGUAUUUAUGAUCUCCGAGAUGUAAAUCAAGGGUUGAAUGAAAGAUGAGUUAAUAUGGAGGAUUGAAUGACGUAUGUGUGACAGAUUCCCUGUCCCUGGAUUAUUGUUUUACUUACGAACACCACUGAACUAUUUGGUUGUCGAGUGUAUGGACUAAAAUCGGCCACUCGGCGGCGCGAACACCGCUGGGACUUCCAGCCCCAAGUAUGUUUGGUUUAAUUCGACUCACUAGUGUGGUAUUCGAUAGAAACAAAUUCCGGAACAAGGGGCACACGACCAACCCUUAUACGAACAGAUAUUUUAUUAUGUUUGGUACUCCUGAAAGAGACCGACCACAAAGCCUGAAUCUAUGGAACUCUUUUGGGCAGGCGCCUUGUGUGCGGUCAGUCUAAACUAUACCCCGGUGGCGUUUUAGUUACGUUUGUGGGAUCUGAGCGCUCAGAUGCAGGCUAUCCGGGGAUAUAGAACUUGAGGGGGUACCUAAUUGUUAAAUGUCUCUUUUGGGGUGUAUUUGAUCUGUAUGUCUUGGACCUGAGAAGUAAUGUAAUUAUGUUGUGUACUUUGUAGCAGUCUACUGGGAAUGCCCCUGGAAUAUGGGGAUUCACAUAAAAGGCCGUGUGUGGUACCAUUAAAAUCAGUACCUGCUUACCCUCAACACAGAGCCUCGUCUCAUGAUUGUAGGGAAAAGCUACACCUGCUUUGGCUACCGCUUGGAUUACUGCUUAGGAAAUACUUCAGCAUUGCUCAGACUAGGGGUGUAGAAAAUUCCUCCUCACCUUGCGGUAUCUGCUGGCCGCUGCGGAUCCACACCAAAUUAUACCUCCACGUCCGCCCACAUUAAUGACGACGUUGGCUUGCGCGUGACAGCACAUUUGGGGUCAAAGGCCGUUUUUGGCCAAUCAGAACUUAAAGCACUUAUUUAAACUCAAAUUUACUUUUCCUCAUUGCCCUGCUGUGGUUUCCCUUGUGGUUGUCCGAGAGUGUUUUCCUGUGCGUUUAAAUUCAGUUUUUUAACUUUGACUUUGUUUGACUUCCCUGUAUUCUGGUAUCCCUGACUUCUGGCUUUCACUUAUCGUUGUGUCUCAUUCUGUGUCCCGUGACCUCGGUAAGCAUCCUGACUAUUCUUUGGUGUGUUAAGUCCGGCCAUUCUAAGGCCCGGUAAUACGUUACCUAUUAGUCAUCUGUGUGACACAAUCCUAUGUGCUGGAUCAACUAGUAAUCCUGACAAGGGGAAAGGACAUCUCUGGCGGCGGAAAAACCCCUCUUCUCUUGGGGUGGCCGCCACAGUAUGUUUUGAGAUGGUUUGAAUAAAGGAUGUUUUGAGAUAAAGGUUUGAAUAAAGCAUGUUUUAAGAUGAAGGUGUGCAUGAAGGAUGUUUUAACAUUAGCUCCUGAAUGAAGGAAGCGAUAGCUGUUUUGGAAUGCUGAAUCUUGUUUCCAUGGAUUCCUGAGUUGCAUUUUACUGCUAUAAAUAAAUAAAUAUUUAUAUAUUUAUGUUUACUACAUCUUAUAGUGGCACAGGAAGUACAAUCAUGUUUGGUGGCAUCGAUUCAUCACUUUACACUGGGAGUCUGCAAUGGGUACCUGUCACUGUGCAGAAGUACUGGCAGAUCACCAUAGACCGGUAAGUCAUUGUAUACACUAGAGAGUCAUGUCAUAGCUUCUACAUGCCCAACCCUGAACAUGGUUAGCAUGUAUGACAAAACUGGAUAUAUCCUCAUAGUUACAUUUUGCAAAACAAUCCAAAUUUUAAAUAUCCUCACAGCUAUGUUUAUCAAAAUAUUCAGAACUGCUGGGCUCUGGAGAGCAGAGAGUUUAUCUACCUUAUUUAUGCCCAGAUCUGCCACUGUCUAACGUGACACCAAAACCAUAAAAUAAAUGUCCACCUCUAGCAAUUAUAGGUUAUUGUCCAACAUUUCAACCACAAUUAUAGGUUAUUGUCCAACAUUUCAAUUCCCCACAUAGUACGGCACUACCUACAUAGUACGACACUUCUCACAUAGUACGGCACUACCUACAUAGUACAAUACUUCUCACAUAGUACGCCACUCCCCACAUAGUACGCCACUCCCCACAUAGUACGCCACUCCCCACAUAGUACAGCACUACCUACAUAGUACGGUACUUCUCACAUAGUACAGCUCUACCUACAUAGUAUGAUACUUCUCACAUAGUAUGUGUCAGGGUGGCGGUCCAGUGCCCGGGACCCAGAUACUGUCCGGGCGGCGGUUUGAGGACCGGGACCCAGUAUGCCUGAUGAUAAGUGGGAGUCUUCAGCGUGAGAGUGGAUAGGUCAGGGUCUGGUGCAGGGCAACCGCACGCCCCCUGGUGUUGAGCACCAGCGUUUGUGCAGCCACAUACCAGAACCCUGAUGCAGCUUAUGCGGAUCCCAAGAACUAGUAGCAGGAAUUAAGCAGACCUCCCAGGAGCUGAAUAGGGAGGCUCUGCUGCAGGGAUGUAUCCAGUACAGAAACAAGGCAAGACUAGAGAUAGACACCAAACUACCCACAUAAUACGCCACUACCCACAUAGUACGGUACUUCUCACAAGACAGAACUAGUAGAACCUAGAACCAGAGAAGGAUAUGAAGCUAAACCCAGAACAUGUACACAAUACAUAAGGGAACAUUAACUAAACAGGAGCAGGACAGGACAGGACUGUACAUGGACUGCGUUAACAAAAUAAAACAAGACAAGAGAUACAAGGUAAAACAAGAGGAGAAAUAACGAAGCACUAUAUAUGAAAAUCAUGGGGAUUUAGUUACAUUAUAUGAUCAUACAUUGCAUAAGCCUGCCACAACGCCAAUGUACCCCAUAUCUGGCAGGUCCUACACUGCCUAAUGUAUGCUAAAAUAACGAUAAGAAACACACAUAGUACUUACCUGCAAGAAAGGGCAGAAGCCAUGAGCAGCUGCCUGCAGGACAAUGAAACAAAAGGAAUGAUGGAAAACAAACAGGUGUGGCAACAUAAAACAAACAUUUAAAGGAAACCUGGAGACUGGGAAUUCCAGGGACGAAAUACAGGAAUGAACCCAGAAAAACCCAGCAUAAAGAAAACCAGACAUGGAAUAGAAAACCAGAAAAAACAAGAAAAACUAAACAAGAAUUGUAAAAAGAGUACUGGAUACCAGAAGCCAAAGCCAGAAUGAUCCGCAGCGAGGAACAGGAUGUGACAGUACGCCACUUCCUACAUAGUACGCCACUCCCCACAUAGUAUGACACUCCCUACAUAGUACGGUACUUCACACAUAGUAUGACACUCCCUGCAUAGUACGGUACUUCUCACAUAGUACGCCACUCCCCACAUUGUACGCCACUCACCACAUUGUACGCCACUCCCCACAUAGUACGGUACUUCACACAUAGUACGCCACUCCCCACAUUGUACGGUACUUCACACAUAGUAUGACACUCCCUGCAUAGUACGGUACUUCUCACAUAGUACGCCACUCCCCACAUUGUACGCCACUCCCCACAUUGUACGCCACUCCCCACAUUGUACGCCACUCCCCACAUAGUGGCACGGUAAUUCUCACAUAGUAAUGGCCACUCCCACAUUGUACGCCACUCCCUACAUUGUACCACUCCCCCACAUUGUACCACUCCCCUACAUAGUAAUGUACUUCACACAUAGUACGCCACUCCCUACAUUGUAAUGGUAUCACACAUAGUAUGACACUCCCCUGUAUAGUAAUGCACUUCUCACACAUAGUACGCCACUUCCCACAUUGUACGCCACUCCCCCACAUUGUAAUGCCACUCCCCACAUUGUAAUGCCACUCCCCACAUAGUACGCCACUCCCCACAUAGUACGCCACUCCCCACAUAGUACGCCACUCCCCACAUUGUACGACACUCCCUACAUAGUACGGUACUUCUCACAUAGUACGCCACUCCCCACAUUGUACGCCACUCCCCACAUUGUACGCCACUCCCCACAUUGUACGCCACUCCCCACAUAGUAUGACACUCCCUACAUAGUACGGUACUUCACACAUAGUACGCUACUCCCCACAUAGUAUGACACUCCCUACAUAGUACGGUACUUCACACAUAGUACGCCACUCCCCACAUAGUAUGACACUCCCCACAUAGUACGGUACUUCUCACAUAGUACGCCACUCCCCACAUUGUACGCCACUCCCCACAUUGUACGCCACUCCCCACAUAGUACGGUACUUCUCACAUAGUACGCCACUCCCCACAUAGUACGGUUCUUAAAAUAUAGUAUGGCAAUCCCUACAUAGAACGGUACUUCUCACAUAGUACGGCACUCCCCACAUAGUACGGUACUCCCCACAUUAUACGCCACUCCCCACAUAGUACGGCACUCCCCACAUAGUACGGCACUCCCCACAUUGUACGCCACUCCCCACAUUGUACGCCACUCCCCACAUAGUACGCCACUUCCCACAUAGUACGCCACUUCCCACAUAGUACGCCACUCCCCACAUAGUACGGUACUUCUCACAUAGUACAGCACUCCCUACAUAGUACGGUACUUCUCACAUAGUACGGCACUCCCCACAUAGUACGGCACUCCCCACAUUGUACGGCACUCCCCACAUAGUACGGUACUCCCCACAUAGUACGGUACUCCCCACAUUGUACGGCACUCCCCACAUAGUACGGUACUUCUCACAUAGUACGGUACUUCUCACAUAGUACGGCACUCCCCACAUAGUACGGCACUCCCCACAUAGUACGCCACUCCCCACAUAGUACGGCACUCCCCACAUAGUACGGCACUCCCCACAUAGUACGAUACUCCCCACAUUGUACGCCACUCCCCACAUAGUACGCCACUCCCCACAUAGUACGGUACUGCUCACAUAGUAUGGCACUCCCCACAUAGUACGUCACUCCCCACAUAGUACGGUACUUCUCACAUAGUACGGCACUCCCCACAUAGUACGAUACUCCCCACAUUGUACGCCACUCCCCACAUAGUACGCCACUCCCCACAUAGUACGGUACUGCUCACAUAGUAUGGCACUCCCCACAUAGUACGUCACUCCCCACAUAGUACGGUACUUCUCACAUAGUACGCCACUCCCCACAUAGUACGCCACUCCCCACAUAGUACGGUACUCCCCACAUAGUACGGUACUCCCCACAUAGUACAUAGUACGGUACUCCCCACAUUGUACGCCACUCCCCACAUUGUACGCCACUCCCCACAUUGUACGCCACUCCACACAUUGUACGCCACUCCCCACAUAGUACGGUACUUCUCACAUAGUACAGCACUCCCUACAUAGUAUGGCACUCCCUACAUAGAUCGGUACUUCUCACAUAGUACGGCACUCCCUACACAGAACGGUACUUCUCACAUAGUACAGCACUCCCUACAUAGUACGGCACUCCCUACAUAGAUCGGUACUUCUCACAUAGUACGGCACUCCCUACAUAGAAGGUACUUCUCACAUAGAACGGCGCUCCCUACAUAAUACAGCGCUCCCUACAUAAAACAGCACUCCCCACAUAGUACGGCACUCCCCACAUAAUACGACCUUCGCUACAGAGUAUGGUACUUCUCACAUAGUACAGCACUCCCUACAUAGUACAGCUCUCCCCACGUAGUACGACACUCGCCACAUAGUACGUCGCUCCCCAUGUAGUACGACACUCAUCACGUAGUAUGGCACUACUCACCACAUAGUACGGCUCUACUCACCACAUAGUACGGCUCUACUUGCCACAUUGCACGGUACUCCCCACAUAGUAUAGCGCCACUCACCAUAUAGUAUGACACUCGCCACAUAGUACAGUGCUACUCACCACAUUGUACAGUACUCCCCACAUAGUACACUACUUUCACAUAGUAUGGCGGUACUCACCUCAUAGUUCGGCUCUACUCGCCACAUUGUACGGUACUACUCACUACCUAGUAUGGCGGUACUCACCUCAUAGUACGGCACUCCCCAUAUAGUACAGUACUUCCCACAUAGUACGGCGGUUCUUACCUCAUAGUACGGCGGUACUCACCACAUAGUACGGUACUACCACAUAGUACGGCGGUACUCACCACAUAGUACGAUAUUUGCCUUAUAGUAUGGUACUCACCACAUAGUACGAUAUUCGCCAUAUAGUACGGUACUCACCUCAUUGUACGAUAUUUGCCAUACAGUACUCACCUCAUAGUACGAUAUUCACCUCAUAGUACGGUACUCACCUCAUAGUUAGAUAUUCCCAAUAUAGUACGGUACUCACCUCAUAGUUAGAUAUUCCCAAUAUAGUACGGUACUCACCUCAUUGUACGAUAUUCCCAAUAUAGCACGGUACUCACCUCAUUGUACGAUAUUCGCCAUAUAAUACAGUACUCACCUCAUAGUUAGAUAUUCCCAAUAUAGCACGGUACUCACCUCAUUGUACGAUAUUUGCCUUAUAGUACGGUACUCACUUCAUAGUUAGAUAUUCCCAAUAUAGUACGGUACUCACCUCAUAGUACGAUAUUCGCCAUAUAGUACGGUACUCACCUCAUAGUUAGAUAUUCCCAAUAUAGUACGGUACUCACCUCAUUGUACGAUAUUUGCCUUAUAGUACGGUACUCACUUCAUAGUUACAUAUUCCCAAUAUAGCACGGUACUCACCUCAUUGUACGAUAUUUGCCUUAUAGUAUGGUACUCACCUCAUAGUUAGAUAUUCCCAAUAUAGUACGGUACUCACCUCAUAGUACGAUAUUCGCCAUAUAGUACGGUACUCACCUCAUAGUACGAUAUUUGCCAUAUAAUACGGUACUCACCUCAUUGUACGAUAUUCGCCAUAUAGUAUGGCACUCACCACAUAGUACGAUAUUCCCAAUACUUACUUACUGCUCCCACUGGCUGUUUCCAUAAUGCACACUGGAAGACCCCUUAAAACAAACUCAGGUAUUCAAGUGGCAAGAUAACAUUGCAAUUAGUUAUGUAGACUAUAUAAUUGUAAUAAGGACAACAUUUUCUUCUUUAUUAAACUUCAAAAAAGAGCUUACAAAUUUCAAAAAAAUAAAUAAAUAUGGCAGAUAAUAAAAAUCGUAUAAAAUCCAUUCCAACCUAGGGGAAAGGGGGCACACAGGACACACACAAGUAGCUGAACAAUUGAGACCCCACUGCAUCUUGGAUAGCCAUGUUUACGUCCCCACUCCAGCUGUACUAACAUAGCAGACUGCUGUGGUGCCCUUCAAGCCUCCCCUUAUGUUCAGUCAUUCAGGUGCUGGCAAACUGAUCAGAGCAGUUUAGCAAGACUCUUCUCUCCUAACCCAAGGAAACAAUUUCACCCAGUGGCCAAUCUAAUCUAGGACUGUUUUGUACUAGACAAUUAUAAGACUAAGGUGGCACAAAGGAGAAGAGCUAUUACAGCAAUGUGUAAUGCUAAUGAGAAACAGAGUUCAGUAUCGGAAGUGAUGGUCAAUGAUGGUUGCAUCGAUGAGCACCGUAGUUGGACCUGGUGUUUGGAAGAGGGAUCUAACAGAAUAUGAUUGGAUGAGAGAUUGGGAUCAAGGAGAAGGCCGCCAGCCUGGGGUGGUAGUUCUGAUAUUGUAGGGAGACAGACAUGGUGGUGGUACAGGUAAAGGUUUGUUGAUUUCCUACUUUGGUGAAUAUAUAAAUUGUGAAUUAAUAUUGGAGUUGGAGAUGAUUGUUUCUGUAGUGUAUGAUGCUAAAUAUAUCUGUUCCAUCCUGUAGUAUAACCAUAAAUGACCAGAUGGUAGCCUGUCACAGCGGAUGCGAAGCCAUUGUGGACACUGGGACCUCUGUAAUUGCUGGACAUCCAGAGCCUAUUAAC